CUUGGAGCUGUCAGACUCUCUCCCGCCCCUGGCUUCGGGCAGUGGCUGCUGGGCCCUUGGCCUUCCUGGGGGAAAAGAAACCCUUCAGACGAGCAAACAGGAUUUAUGGAGGGGAUGGAACAGCGCAUCUCACAGAGACCUAAGAAGAGACGGGCCGUCUG
rnacentral:lncRNA from 1 species